rnacentral:lncRNA from 1 species
AACCAAUAUCACAUCCACUGGCGGAGAAGACUUCAAGACCUGAAGAUCAACUUUCUAUUUUUAGACUCUUUUAGACCCUUCUAUUUUUAGAACCCUUUACACUAGCUCAUCUACCUUCGAUUUUAAAUCACAUCCUAUUGCUGUCACCAUAAAUAUCAUUCUUUAUUCAACACUUUCCUAUUUUACUUUAUUUUCAGCCUCUUUUUAAUACUCAUCUUUCAUCUAUUCAUUUUCCCUUCAUAACAGUCACCUUUCUUUACAACACCUUCUAGGAAAGCCUAUUUCAUUAUAUUUUAAGCCUAUUUUUAUUUCAGAAACUUUUUCAAAUUUAUUUCCCUCUUAAUUUACAAAUUUCGUUUGAAAUUUAAGAUUGGUGCCCUUUUCACAAGCUCUGGCUAUUUAAGGACGCCCCUUGUUGCCCAAGGGCAUUCAACUUAUUUGAUGAAUAGAAUUUCGUGAGUUUCUUCUCCUUGAGAGUUUCUCUCCUCUGCUGGUGGACUCCAGCAUCCCUGUGGAUUCAAGGAGGUAGUUCAUUGGUUAAUGGAUUCAGGAUCUGCCCUUGAGCACCAAGGGAAUAGCUUUUUCGUUUUGAGGACCCAAGAUAAAAAGGUUUCACUAGAAAUCUCGACUUUUGAGGAUUCUAGUUGUGAUUUCAACCCUUCUUCUGUCAACCUAAAUACCCACUCAAAUCAAAGGGUCAUCGUCUAUAGUUUCAUUGUGUCAAGUAGUUUCAUUUUGUACAGUGUUUUUUUAAUAUGAAAAACACAUGGAUGAAAAGUUAGAGACAAUGAGUGAUACAUUCAAGCAAAUAUUAUCAAGAAUGUCUACCUUAGAAAAUAUUUGUCGUGUUCAGAGUAAUUAGAGGCAGAAUAAUGUAGCCCAGUUUCAGCCAAAUUCAAGUGAUCUUGAAGAAUAGAAGGCGUGAAGACUCAUCUCAUCUCAUAAAAAAUUUAGCACAUGUUAAAUGUGUUCAAAUCUAUUAUUCAUUAUUUUCUUUCACGUUUUUGUUAUUUUAAUAAAUUUUAAUAGUUAAGGACCUUUGUAACGAACUUCCUUAACUUUAGGGCCGUUUUUAACUUCUUCUAGAAUUGUAGUUAGUUAAGGACAUUCUUAACAGAACCUCCUGGAUUCUAGCUUUAUUUUAACAUAUUUCUCAUUUUGUAGGAUUUUUCGAGAUCCAAAUUUUAUGCAUGUUAGUUACCUUUUUGGCCUCUCAUGUAGCCCUAGAGGCAUGUCAUAUUUUUUGUGAAUAUAAUUCGAAGUUUCUUUCUUUUAAUAAAGUUAUUUUGUCUGCUGGUGGAUUCCAACCUCUUUGUUGGUUCAAGGAACCACUUCUGAUCUUGUGGAUUCAAGAUCAACCUCUUGUGGACUCAAGGGUUGAAGUUAAUUCAUUCUCUGAACUCAGGG